AGGAAAUUGCUGAGCUAAAAGAAUGGACGGGGAAAUUAAACCUGGGACGUUGAUCUUGAAGAUGUGAGCAGUCGGAGAUUCGAGCCAAUCCAUGAGGGCCGUUGAUCCAGACCAUUCACGGAAUAUUGGAGGGCUCCAAAAUAGGCGCCUGAAAG